GCUCAGAUUGAACGCUGGCGGCAGGCUUAACACAUGCAAGUCGAACGGUAACAUGAAGAAGCUUGCUUCUUUGAUGACGAGUGGCGGACGGGUGAGUAAUGCUUGGGAAUCUAGCUUAUGGAGGGGGAUAACUACGGGAAACUGUAGCUAAUACCGCGUAGUAUCGAGAGAUGAAAGUGGGGACCUUCGGGCCACAUGCCAUAGGAUGAGCCCAAGUGGGAUUAGGUAGUUGGUGAGGUAAAGGCUCACCAAGCCGACGAUCUCUAGCUGGUCUGAGAGGAUGACCAGCCACACUGGGACUGAGACACGGCCCAGACUCCUACGGGAGGCAGCAGUA
rnacentral:rRNA from 1 species